UUUCGAGUAGUUUAUGGAAAACGCUCCCUUUUCGAGGGAAGGAAAUGACUGAUCAUUUCGAAAU
rnacentral:tRNA from 1 species